AUAUAUAGUAGUGAUUGGUGAACGAUUCAUGAACAAGGGCGGCUGCGUGUUAUUGGAAGUAGGGUUGUCCUGACUCCCGUGGAUUUGUGGUCGCUCUCAAAUACCAACCGAGCAAGCCUUUUGCCCUAGAUCCCAGCCAUGUCUUCCAAGCAAGGUGGAAAAGCAAAGCCCUUGAAGGCACCCAAGGCCGACAAGAAGGAGUACGACGAGUCCGAUUUGGCCAACCUUCAGAAGAAGAAAGAGGAGGAAAAGGCACUGAAGGAGCUUAGAGCCAAGGCACAACAGAAAGGGUCCUUCGGAGGUUCUGGGCUCAAGAAAAGCGGGAAGAAAUGAGUGGGUUUAUCGAACCCCAAUCCGGGAUACAAUAUAUUGUUCUUGAGCUGUAAUUAUGAACUCUGUUGUGUUAACGUCUUUCAAUUCAUGUUUUUGUCGAGCAUCUAAUGUGCGCGAGAUGCUCGAGUGAAUUUCAGUGUGUAACAUUAUGACCCGGUCUAAAUAAAUUGAGUUGUCCAAUCUUAAGCUUU